AAGGACACAGAGACACGAAGAACAGGAAACAACCUCACAGGCACUGACGUCCACAUCUGGAGAGGCUGAGCUGCCAGCGAAAACUCUUUGUCUACGAACGGUACACCUAUAGAGACAAGGAUGAAGUCAUCCACAUGUGGUAUCCACAUGGACACAAGGCAGAGCUUCUCGGAGAAUCUCUCAGGAGAGCAUCUUCAGGACACUUUGACCAGCCUUUUUCUCCCAAGACUGACCAGGGGGACCAAGAAGAACACAAGCCUGAACCUGCCCCAGGCCGGCCGAUAGGGUGACUGACUUACCUGGGAUACAAUGAGUACCGGCUGCAACUAAGCCACUCCAGCUCCCAGCCCUGAUCGCUUCAGCACCAUUUUCUUGGAUUAAAGGGAGUUUGACCUCAUAGUCACUGUGUAUCAGAGGUGAGGUUAGACCAGUGCAGGUAAAAUGGGAACUGGCCAGCUGCCUUGCGUUCCUCCAUCUCCUCCCAGCUUCGAAGGCUGAGGCAUUUCCUUCUCAGGUGAAAGUCCCUCUCCCCCUCCCCCUUCCCCUCCCC
rnacentral:lncRNA from 1 species